UGCUAUACAUGCAGUCGAACGAGUUCUCGUUGAUGAUCGGUGCUUGCACCGAGAUUCAACAUGGAACGAGUGGCGGACGGGUGAGUAACACGUGGGUAACCUGCCCUUAAGUGGGGGAUAACAUUUGGAAACAGAUGCUAAUACCGCAUAGAUCCAAGAACCGCAUGGUUCUUGGCUGAAAGAUGGCGUAAGCUAUCGCUUUUGGAUGGACCCGCGGCGUAUUAGCUAGUUGGUGAGGUAACGGCUCACCAAGGCGAUGAUACGUAGCCGAACUGAGAGGUUGAUCGGCCACAUUGGGACUGAGACACGGCCCAAACUCCUACGGGAGGCAGCAGUAGGGAAUCUUCCACAAUGGACGCAAGUCUGAUGGAGCAACGCCGCGUGAGUGAAGAAGGCUUUCGGGUCGUAAAACUCUGUUGUUGGAGAAGAAUGGUCGGCAGAGUAACUGUUGUCGGCGUGACGGUAUCCAACCAGAAAGCCACGGCUAACUACGUGCCAGCAGCCGCGGUAAUACGUAGGUGGCAAGCGUUAUCCGGAUUUAUUGGGCGUAAAGCGAGCGCAGGCGGUUUUUUAAGUCUGAUGUGAAAGCCCUCGGCUUAACCGAGGAAGCGCAUCGGAAACUGGGAAACUUGAGUGCAGAAGAGGACAGUGGAACUCCAUGUGUAGCGGUGAAAUGCGUAGAUAUAUGGAAGAACACCAGUGGCGAAGGCGGCUGUCUGGUCUGUAACUGACGCUGAGGCUCGAAAGCAUGGGUAGCGAACAGGAUUAGAUACCCUGGUAGUCCAUGCCGUAAACGAUGAAUGCUAGGUGUUGGAGGGUUUCCGCCCUUCAGUGCCGCAGCUAACGCAUUAAGCAUUCCGCCUGGGGAGUACGACCGCAAGGUUGAAACUCAAAGGAAUUGACGGGGGCCCGCACAAGCGGUGGAGCAUGUGGUUUAAUUCGAAGCAACGCGAGAACCUUACCAGGUCUUG
rnacentral:rRNA from 2 species